UUACAUGCACAUUUUAGAACUAUCUGUCUAUGUCAUUAGAGGCAGGUGUAUGACAAUGGGGACAAACUAGACUGGGCAACACCAAAAGCUUUGAAUCUUGGUUCCACCUGGCUCCUAACUAAGAUGACAGUACUACUGAGUAAUCUUCUCAGAGCCCCUGUCUUGUCAUCUGUGAAAGAAAAGAGACCUGGCCAAAGCCAUCACAGCACCCAACAGACAUGCAGCAAAUCUCGGUACCCAACAAGCUGGACACGUCCUUUGAACACAGGAAACACUAUAUAAAGGAAGCACUUGAUAUCCUCCUCCAGGUUGCCACACAGGAAACUGGUAGUGUCUCCAUAUUCAAAGCAUGCAGGCCUGGAGGUUAGAGCUCAGCUCUGGCUCAGCUAGAACAAUCAGUACCCCACUUUAGAUUCAACAAAUGCCUGGUGCCGGGAGUUCUUUUCUGACAGCAAGCACCAGCCAGAACUGUCUUCACGAGCUUUGAAAAUUAAUUCAGCAGAUUCUCCAAGUAAUUGAUUGUUUCUGAGACAUCAAAAAGUGUAACCCUCCUGGCUUGAGGCCUGCCUCUCAUAACCACACCUCUCUGCCCACCUCCUGCUAUUUGC